UAGCGCGAUUCUGUAACUCGUUAUGCUGUCGUUAUGGACUCAUAACGACAAGUUUCGUUAUGCUACCGACCGCGUCGCUAUUAUAACGACAAAUGCGAUUCUGUACACUAUUCUUAGCGAGUUUUGUCGUUAUUAAUAACGAAAAGUGUCGUUAUGAUGUCGUUACGGUGCGAGCGGAUAGCGAGGCUCAGAGACCCCCUCGUUACGCUAUAACGACGAUUAUAACGACACUUUGCACACGAGCUAGAGGAGUGGUGUGCGUUUCCCAUAUUUUUCUCGACUCCGAGACAGUGCUUCGAAAAGUGCUCCGAAAGUGAAAAAUAAUUACGACGUUUGAAAUAACAAGAUCAUGGCUAUCGAAUACCUUGCUUGGGAUGUAUUCGUUCUUGAGGAAAGAUUACGUCGACUCGAACGUCGUGUGGAAAGAAGGCGACUGAGAGAUGCUCAGAAUCCUUUUCAGCUACCACGAGAAGAGUUUCUCAGCCUUUUUCGCCUGCCUCAAGAAGCUGUGAUGAAUCUUGGUUAACACCUCAGCAAAGCAGCAUAGGUGAUGCUGGAUAUCCGUUGGAGCCUUGGCUGUUAACACCGCUGGCCAAUUUUCCUGAAGAUACGCGACAACAUCAAUAUACACAACAGUAGUAAGGCUAGAAGCGUCGUCGAGCGGUUUUUUGGAGUUUUUAAAUCUGUAUGGAGAUGCUUGUCAUACCAGCGAGUCUUGAUGUACGAACCAGCGUUCGCAGCGAAAAUUGUUAAUGCGUGUGCAGUACUGCACAACAUGAGAGUGCAACUACGAUUAAACAAUGAAGAUGCAUACAUCCCGUAGAGAAUGAUGUUGAUCCGAUGGAUCAAGAUGAAGAAUACAACAGACGAGGACCACGCGCUUUGGCUCAAUGAAUUCAACAACAAAUUAUGAGAAAGAUUUCCCAACUUCCGUGAUGCGGAAGAAUAGAAUACAGAAUAUGGAAUGAUGUUUAUGGUUAAAUUGCCAACAAGUAUAAUGUUUAAAGGUGAUGAGAGAAAUUGACGACAACAGAGUCAGGGCGGUGUUACGCUCCGACGUACUGCCUUGGCGUACCUUUUUCAAAAUUCCAUGUCAUUUCAUUUCUUUAAUAUCUUCAAUGCACAGAUAUUAUUUCAUCAAAAUCUCAUAGGCUCAUAGGAGUAAGGCUGCGGUCAAGCAUCUCUAUACGCCAGGUUCGAUUCCUGGCUCCGUCGUUAAUUUUUCAAAAUCACCAAUUUUUCGAAUUUACAUUCCUUCAACUAUAAUGUUUACAAUUGAUUGUACAUAAAGAAAUAUUCAAUUGUGUUUUUAAAGUA
rnacentral:lncRNA from 1 species